rnacentral:pre_miRNA from 1 species
AGGGGUGUGCCGGAUCCUGGCCUAUGUUCCCCAGCGCCCUGGGCUCCCCGGCCUGUGCUGCUGGGAUUGUGCUCCAGGUGCACGCAGUCCCCU